UAGGGCUUGAGAAGACGAAGCCGGUCCCGGAUAAGAGUCUGAUCAUUCGGGCUGGUGGAUGGAUCAGAGGAGAUCCAGACAGCACGAAGUGGCUCGUACGGUAUUUCGGAUUGGAUGAGGAGUUCGGAGGAAGUUUGCCGGGAGUUGAGAGAGAGAGUGGGAUCGUUGGAGGCUCCGGAAAGGAAAACUCGAAUGGAUUGGUACUGGAUAGGAUCAACCCGACCGCGGUUGGAGUUAUUUUCAGUAACCAUUAGUUGUUUCUCUGUAUGCGAUGAGGAGGAGCAGAACGGAACUUCGAGUUAGAAAGAGAGAGAAGGAAAACCUGGAAGAAACUUCUUACCGAUUGAGGCGGCCAACGACGAAAUCCGGCGGCGUUUCCGGGCGAAUUGAGGUUCGUUUUGCUGGAGCUGUUGAGCUUCGUUGAGU
rnacentral:lncRNA from 1 species